ACUAUGACUCUCUUAAGGCAGCCAGAUGCCUCGUCAUCUAAUUAGUGACGUGCAUGAAUGAAUCAUUAACGAGAUUCCCCAUUGUCCCUAGCUACUAUAAUCUAGAGAAGCCACAUCCAAGGGAAUGGGAUUGGAAGAAUUAGUGGGGAAAAAAGACCAUGUUGAGCUUGACUCUAGUCCUAACCCAUUCAUAGUUUGGGA
rnacentral:ncRNA from 1 species